rnacentral:rRNA from 1 species
CCCUUAGAUGUUCUGGGCUGCACGCGCGCUACACUGAAGCUAUCAACACGUUUUCCCUCCCUGAGAAGGGCGGGUAACCUUUUGAAUCAGCUUCGUGGUAGGGAUCGGGGCUUGCAAUUGUUCCCCGUGAACCAGGAAUUCCUAGUAGACGCGAGUCAUAAGCUCGCAUCGAUUAAGUCCCUGCCCUUUGUACACACCGCCCGUCGCUACUACCGAUUGAGUGAUCCGGUGAAUAAUUCGGACUGCAGCACUGCUUGGUCUCCAGGCUUUGCAGCGGAAAGUUUAGUGAACCUUAUCACUUAGAGGAAGGAGAAGUCGUAACA